rnacentral:piRNA from 1 species
GCCACGCCCAGUUUUAUGAAGUGUUAAAGGUC